UACGUAGGUGGCAAGCGUUGUCCGGAAUUAUUGGGCGUAAAGCGCGCGCAGGUGGUUUCUUAAGUCUGAUGUGAAAGCCCACGGCUCAACCGUGGAGGGUCAUUGGAAACUGGGGAACUCGAGUGCAGGAGAGAAGAGUGGAAUUCCACGUGUAGCGGUGAAAUGCGUAGAGAUGUGGAGGAACACCAGUGGCGAAGGCGACUCUUUGGCCUGUAACUGACACUGAGGCGCGAAAGCGUGGGGAGCGAUCCGG
rnacentral:rRNA from 1 species